AACGAACGCUGGCGGCGUGCCUAACACAUGCAAGUCGAGCGCGAAUAGGGGCAACCCUUAGUAGAGCGGCGCACGGGUGCGUAACACGUGGGUAAUCUGCCUGGAAGCUCGGGAUAACUAGCCGAAAGGUUAGCUAAUACCGGAUAAGCCCCCGGGGACUUCGGUCCUUGAGGGAAAAGAUGGCCUCUGUAUACAAGCUAUCACUACCAGAUUAGCCCGCGGCCCAUCAGCUAGUUGGCGGGGUAAUGGCCCACCAAGGCAACGACGGGUAGCUGGUCUGAGAGGACGAUCAGCCACACUGGAACUGAGACACGGUCCAGACUCCUACGGGAGGCAGCAGUGGGGAAUUUUGCGCAGUGGGCGAAAGCCUGACGCAGCAACGCCGCGUGUGUGAUGAAGGUCUUCGGAUUGUAAAGCACUUUCGACCGGGACGAAACUCCUUCACCUAAUACGUGGGGGCCUGACGGUACCGGGAGAAGAAGCACCGGCUAACUCUGUGCCAGCAGCCGCAGUAAGAC
rnacentral:rRNA from 1 species